UACCGUAUUUAUUCUAUUUAAAGCCCCCCUUCUAAUUAACGCCCCCCUACCGAAAAUCGUGCGUUCAGAACUUUUGACUUCUAAUAAACGCCCCCAUUUUGUAGUUAAAAAAAUAAAAUUGAAACUUACCCAUUACAGAGGGGGAUAGGAUGGGUCCUGACCCCGAAAUCCCAGGCUUAAAAACACGAAAUCCCGAGGUCCCGAAUUUAAAUAAAGUAAAUCCCGACAUCCCGAAACCGAAAAGAAGAAUUCCCGGAUCCCGAAAGGGUCAAUCCCGAAAUCCCGAGCUUAAAAACACCCGAUCCCGGAGUCCCGAUAAAGGUCCUAUCCCCCCUCAUUACAAUAUUGCUAAGACAUCGACUCGGUCACUCAGAAACAUGAAACGAAAAAUCAAUAAUGC
rnacentral:lncRNA from 1 species